UACGGGGGGUGCGAGCGUUGUCCGGAAUCACUGGGCGUAAAGGGCGCGUAGGUGGCGUCGUAAGUCUGUGGUGAAAGCCCGGAGCUCAACUCCGGGUCUGCCGCGGAUACUGCGAGGCUUGAGUGCUGGUAGAGGGGGGUAGAAUGCCGGGUGUAGCAGUGAAAUGCGUAGAGAUGUGGAGGAAUACCGAUGGCGAAGGCAGCCUCCUGGGCCAACACUGACGCUCAUGCACGAAAGCGUGGGGAGCAAACAGG
rnacentral:rRNA from 1 species